GACGAACGCUGGCGGCGUGCCUAACACAUGCAAGUCGAACGGAGAGCUAUAACGAUUUUCUUCGGAAAUGAGAUAUAGUUUCUUAGUGGCGGACGGGUGAGUAACGCGUGAGCAACCUGCCUGUUAGAGGGGAAUAACAACGAGAAAUCGUUGCUAAUACCGCAUAUGCCAUAGGAACCACAUGGUUCUAAUGGGAAAGGAGUAAUCCGCUAACAGAUGGGCUUGCGUCUGAUUAGAUAGUUGGUGGGGUAACGGCCUACCAAGUCGACGAUCAGUAGCCGGACUGAGAGGUUCAACGGCCACAUUGGGACUGAGAUACGGCCCAGACUCCUACGGGAGGCAGCAGUCGGGAAUAUUGCGCAAUGGAGGGAACUCUGACGCAGUGACGCCGCGUAUAGGAAGAAGGUUUUCGGAUUGUAAACUAUUGUCGUUAGGGGAAGAGUACAAGACAGUACCUAAGGAGGAAGCCCCGGCUAACGUAUGUGCCAGCAGCC
rnacentral:rRNA from 1 species